UGCUGUUAACAGAUUAUAUACACAAUCAGUAAGAUGUUCUCUCAAGCCCAAACCAAAAUCUCUAUACACAAACCGAGAGUAAUAAAUUCAGAAAUUUUAUUUGAUGUUAUCAAGUUCUGGAGCUGAAUUUUUUCCUAGAAUAAUCACCACUCUUGUUUCCACUAGUGAAGCUAAUGGAAACAAGAGUGAUGAUAAUUCUGUGAAGCAAAGGCUUGCUAAGGCGCUGUGUGAGUCUUUUGGAUAAUUCUGGGAAUGAGAGUCUUGUUGAGGUUGCGGCAGUUUCCAAGAUGCCUCUAAAACUGAAAAGAUGAAAGAGCUCAACAAGAAGAGUAAGAGUAAGAGUAAGAGUAAUGAUGAUGAUGAUGAAGAGGAGGCAUGAUUUAUAAGACUAAGGCCUCAUCAUCAUCAUUACUCUUAGUCUUCUUGUUGAGCUUUUUCUCCCUCUUUUCAGUUUUAGAGCCAUCUUGGAAACUCCCACAACCUCAGCAAGGUUUUUCUUCCCAGAAUUAUCCAAGACUCCCACAACCUCUCAGUAAGGCUUUGCUUUCCAGAAUUAUCACCACUCUUGUUUCCAUUUGGUUUCACUAGUGGAAACAAGAGUGAUGAUAAUUCUGGGAAAAAAUUCAGCUCAAGAACUUGGUAAAAUCAAAUAAGAUUUCAGAAUUUAUUACCUCUCGGUUUGUGUAUUGAGAUUUUGGUUUUGGCUUGAGAGAACAUCUUACUGAUUGUGUGUAUAAUCUGCAUUUUUUGUUUUGUUUCCUCCUAUGUGUCUACAUGAUCAGAUUUUAUUCAUAUUCUGGUAAGCAUAUAUGGAGUUAAUUGGACUGGUACAACCAUAUUGCAUUCUAGCAUGAUUCCAAGGCACAGCUUACUCUAACCUUGUAUCUCCUUAGCUACAAGGUUUUGGUCUGAAGGGACAAUAAUUCUUUUGGCUUUAUGUUAAUAGUAGUUGAUCGGAUAUUAGUUAGUUGAAUGAAAAAUCAAUAUAGCAACGUGAUAGUGAGGUUCUUUAUUGGUGUAUGUAUGUGAACUGGACUCCUAGUUUAGUUUGGCAUAUGAGCUUCCCUUUUCUUUUUCUUUUGUAAUGAUAAAACAAGCUAUAGUUGGAUCUGCGGUUCUGUAGCUAACAUGGCUCCUAGUUUAGUUUGGCAUCUUAGCUUUCCUUUUCUUUUUAUUUUGUAUUGAUAAAACAAGCUAUAGUUGGAUCUGCAGGUAUGUAGCUAAGAUGGCUAAAGUUAGAUCUGUUUUUUUCAGCAUAUGGAUUCAAUCGUACAAUGUAAUUUGAUAUCUUCUUUUGCUUUGUUCAACUUACAUGCCACUGAACUGCGAUGGGUUACUAAGUCUUUAACUUAUUGUCAAGUUUUUUUUUGGUUAACUUAUUGUCAAGUUUUUCAAGAAAAGGAAACUAGUGUUUUCUUUGAGGUUUUGCGUUGCAUUUCAAUCCUACCCUAAAAGCUUCUAAUGGGAUUAUCAAGCAUUUCAAAUCUCAAACUGUAUACUUGCAACAACUUGUGAAAUGCCACUGAAAAAUCAGUGAAGAAAAUAACAUUGGGCAGGGAGGCUUUGGUACUGUGUACAAGUUAAUAUCAGAGAGAAUGCUUUUGUUUAUGACUUUUGAGGAAUACUUGGUCAUCACCACUUGAUUGUCCUAAAAAUUCUUUCUGCUUCUUCCACAUUAUUGUGAAAUGUGUUUGAUCAGGGAACACUUGAGAAUAGCUCUGUGACAGCAGUAAAGGUAUUGUCAGGAGAUUCUAGGCAAGGGUCGUAGGAAUUUUUGACAGAAAUUGAGGUGAUUGCAUGUGUUGAUCAUGAGAACUAGUUGAGCUAUAUGGUUGCUGUGUGGAAGGAAAUCAUAGGAUAUUGGUUUAUGGCUUGACAAUAAUUGCCUUUCACAAACACUUCUUGGUGGAGGCCAAUUUAGUUGGCGAACAAGUGUAAAAUCUGCAUUGGAUUGCAAGGUGGCUCGCUUACCUUCAUGAGGAUGUUCAACCCUCCAUAUUAUUCACAGAGAUAUUAAGGCAAGCAAUAUUCUCCUUGAUAAAGAUCUUUCACUAGAAAUUCAGAUUUUGGUCUUGCAAAGUUUAUCGCACCUAACUUGACCCAUGUUAGUACUCGUGUUACUGGAACAGCGGGUUAUUUGGCACCUCAGUAUGCCAUACGAGGUCAGGUGACAAAGAAAGCAGAUAUCUAUAGUUUUGGUGUUUUAGUCUUGGAAAUUGCUAGUGGGAGGUGCAACGCAAACAGAUGUUUACCAUCCAAAGAACAGUAUCUUUUUGUAAGGCUGUUGCAGUUAUGGGAACUAUAUGAGAGGGGUCAGCUGGUGGAGUUGGCUGAUACAUCAACAUUAAAUGAAGGUUUGAAUGUUGAGGAGGCUUGCAGAUUCGUGAAAAUUGGUCUUCUUUGCACCCAAGACAAGCCCAAGCUCCGACCAUCCAUGUCUACGGUUGUUAAGAUGCUGACAGGCGAGACAGACGUGGAUGACGAGAAGAUAGACAAACCUGGAAUGCUUGCUGAGUUCAUGGACCAGAGAGAUUCGGUUGAUGCUAAACACUCAUCUUACUCACUAUCACCUUAUGGGAGGGUUCUCAAUUUGUCAUCUUCCUCCGAAAAAAUCACCACUUCAUUUGCUACCAUGACCUUUAAUUCUAUAUUUCUACAUACGACCGAAGACAUUAUGACAGCAAAGAAACAUCUUUCUGGUGUUGUUUGGUAUGGGUAGGAUGCAUAUACAUAUUACUAUUAGUCUUAUACAGUCCCGUUCACCUGGUCACUAGCUGACCAGGGAUUAUAUGGUCAGUGACCAUCCGAUUCAAAUCGGACGGUUGACAGUUCUCUAACUUUUUAAAAGAUAAAAGCUGUCAACCGUCCGAUUGAAAUCGGACGGUCACUGACCAUAUAAUCCCUGGUCAGCUAGUGACCAGGGGAACAUCUCUGUAGUCUUAUAUGUGUUUUGGUCCUCUUGGAGUACAAUAAGUAGCCAGAGUGCUGAUCACAUGGUCAGCAACUGAUCAUGGAUUUUCUGGUCAUUGACCGUCCGAUUGAGAUCAGACGGUUGACAGCUCUCAUCUUAAAUCUCAUUACUUAGCUGUCAACCGUCCGAUCUCAAUCGGACGGUCAGUGACCAGAAAAUCCAUGAUCAGUUGCUGACCAUGUGAUCAGGACUGUAAGUAGCCAUAUAUGAAAUAGUAUAUUUUGUAGAGUAACAGUAUUGGUGUAAAGUUUUAUAAUCACCUAGGCAGCUGGGCUUUAUAUUUUUGGUAUGUAAAGAAAGUCCCGACUAUAUAAAGGCCCUUGCAUCCCUGCGUUCAAAUCCAGAUAUCAUGUAUACUAAACAGAGACCUUUUCUUUUA